AACUUUGCAAUGUGCGAAAGCACGACAAGGUUAAUCCGAGUGGUUUCUGCUAAAGAAACCUUUUGCUAGUCCUAGAAACACUAGUGAAUAAGGGGUGGGCAAGUUCUGGUGUCAGCCGCCGCGGUAAAACCASCACCUCAAGUGGUCAGGAUGAUUAUUGGGCCUAAAGCAUCCGUAGCUCGUUUUGUAAGUUUUCGGUUAAAUCCAUACGCUUAACGUAUGGGCUGCCGGGAAUACUGCAUAACUAGGAAGUGGGAGAGGUAGACGGUACUCGGUAGGAAGGGGUAAAAUCCUUUGAUCUAUUGAUGACCACCUGUGGCGAAGGCGGUCUACCAGAACACGUUCGACGGUGAGGGAUGAAAGCUGGGGGAGCAAACCGGAUUAKAUACCCGGGUAGUCCCAGCUGUAAACUAUGCAAACUCAGUGAUGCAUUGGCUUGUGGCCAAUGCAGUGCUGCAGGGAAGCCGUUAAGUUUGCCGCCUGGGAAGUACGUACGCAAGUAUGAAACUUAA
rnacentral:rRNA from 1 species